UUACGAUCACAUCAAGUUGAAAGAUCGGUUCCCGUACAAUCCGCGACGUUAAGCAAUGUUGAGCCUGGUCAGUACCCAGAUGGGUGACCGCUUGGGAAUACCAGUUGCUGUAA